UACGUAGGGGGCUAGCGUUGUCCGGAAUCAUUGGGCGUAAAGCGCGCGUAGGCGGUCAGGUAAGUCCGGUGUGAAAGUCAAAGGCUCAACCUUUGAAAGCCGGUGGAUACUGUGAGGCUAGAGUACGGAAGAGGCGAGUGGAAUUCCUGGUGUAGCGGUGGAAUGCGCAGAUAUCAGGAGGAACACCAAUAGCGAAGGCAGCUCGCUGGGACGUUACUGACACUGAGGCGCGAAAGCGUGGGGAGCGAACAGG
rnacentral:rRNA from 1 species